UACAGAGGGUGCGAGCGUUAAUCGGAAUUACUGGGCGUAAAGCGCACGUAGUCGGCUUUGCAAGUCGGUUGUGAAAUCCCCGGGCUCAACCUGGGAACUGCAUCCGAGACUGCAUUGCUAGAGUAUGGGAGAGGAAAGCGGAAUUUCUGGUGUAGCAGUGAAAUGCGUAGAUAUCAGAAGGAACAUCAGUGGCGAAGGCGGCUUUCUGGACCAAUACUGACGAUCAGGUGCGAAAGCUAGGGGAGCAAACGGG
rnacentral:rRNA from 1 species